rnacentral:rRNA from 1 species
UGGAGGCCCGAACUCAUUGAUGUUGAAAAAUCUCGGGAUGAGCUGUGGUUAGUCCGGUGAAAUGCCAAUCGAACGCAGAGAUAGCUGGUUCUCCCCGAAAUGCAUUUAGGUGCAGCGUUAAGCGUUGUUCAACGGGGGUAGAGCACUGAAUGGGCUAGGGGGCUUACCCGCUUACCGAACCCAACCAAACUCCGAAUACCGUUGUAUAAGCUUGGCAGUGACACGGCGAGUGAUAAGAUCCGUCGUGAAAAGGAAAACAAUCCAGAUCGACAGCUAAGGGCCCUAAACGUGGACUAAGUGUGAAACGAUGUGGGAUCGCGUAAACAGCCAGGAGGUUGGCUUGGAAGCAGCCACCCUUUAAAAAGUGCGUAAUAGCUUACUGGCCGAAUGUGGUCCUGCGCGGAUAAUGUAAGGGGGCUAAAGUCCACUCCCGAAGCUUCGGGCUCGAGUUUAUCUCGAGCGGUAGGGGAGCGUCGCGUUCAGCGGUGAAGCCAGAGCGGAAGUCCUGGUGGAGCGGACGCGAGUGAGAAUGCAGGCAUAAGUAGCGAUAAGACGGGUGAGAAUCCCGUCCGCCGAAAACCCAAGGUUUCUCCGGCUAUGUUCGUCAGACGGAGGUUAGGCGGUCCCUAAGGCGAGGCCAGAAGGCGUAGUCGAUGGAUAUCCGGUCGAGAUUCCGGACCCGCGAUAGGAGCAAUGGGAAGACGCUUUCGGAAUGCUGAUCCCGGACUGUUGGUAGUUCCGGGCUAGUCUUAGGCUGGUCCUCUUGAAAGAUUGGAAGAAAGGCCGAGGACGGGGAAGGGCGCCCUUCGGGGCAAACGAACUCAGGUGAACGAGGGCCGAGAAAAUCCCCUCAGCGUUAAUCCUAUUUGCGACCGUACUGUAAACCGACACAGGUGGGUGAGUCGAGGAGACUAAGGCGUUCGAGAGAACUCUCGUUAAGGAACUAGGCAAACGGGCCCCGUAAGUUCGCGAUAAGGGGCGCCCCGCAAGGGGCCGCAGCGAAGCAUCCCAGGCGACU